UGGGGAAUAUUGGACAAUGGGGGCAACCCUGAUCCAGCCAUGCCGCGUGGGUGAAGAAGGCCUUAGGGUUGUAAAACCCUUUCAGCGGGGAAGAUGAUGACGGUACCCGCAGAAGAAGCCCCGGCUAACUCCGUGCCAGCAGCCGCGGUAAUACGGAGGGGGCUAGCGUUGUUCGGAAUUACUGGGCGUAAAGGGCUCGUAGGCGGCCAACUAAGUCAGACGUGAAAUCCCUCGGCUUAACCGGGGAACUGCGUCUGAUACUGGAUGGCUUGAAUCCGGGAGAGGGAUGUGGAACUCUAGGUGGAGCGGUGAAAUGCGUAGAUAUCUGGAGGAACACCGGUGGCGAAGGCGGCAUCCUGGACCGGUAUUGACGCUGAGUGAGCGAAAGCCAGGGGAGCAAACGGGAUUAGAUACCCUCGUAGUCCCUGAGCGGGCUGGCAAGGCGCAUA
rnacentral:rRNA from 1 species